UACGUAGGGGGCAAGCGUUGUCCGGAAUUAUUGGGCGUAAAGCGCGUGUAGGCGGCUCGGUAAGUCUGCUGUGAAAGUCCAAGGCUCAACCUUGGAAAGCCGGUGGAUACUGCAGGGCUAGAGUCCGGAAGAGGCGAGUGGAAUUCCUGGUGUAGCGGUGGAAUGCGCAGAUAUCAGGAGGAACACCAAUAGCGAAGGCAGCUCGCUGGGACGGUACUGACGCUAAGGCGCGAAAGCGUGGGGAGAGAACAGG
rnacentral:rRNA from 1 species